GUGGGGAAUAUUGGACAAUGGGCGAAAGCCUGAUCCAGCCAUGCCGCGUGUGUGAAGAAGGUCUUCGGAUUGUAAAGCACCUUAAGUUGGGAGGAAGGGCAGUAAGUUAAUACCUUGCUGUUUUGACGUUACCGACAGAAUAAGCACCGGCUAACUUCGUGCCAGCAGCCGCGGUAAUACGAAGGGUGCAAGCGUUAAUCGGAAUUACUGGGCGUAAAGCGCGCGUAGGUGGUUUUGUAAGUUGGAGGUGAAAUCCCCGGGCUCAACCUGGGAACUGCCUCCAAAACUGCAUGACUAGAGUACGGUAGAGGGUAGUGGAAUUUCCUGUGUAGCGGUGAAAUGCGUAGAUAUAGGAAGGAACACCAGUGGCGAAGGCGACUACCUGGACUGAUACUGACACUGAGGUGCGAAAGCGUGGGGAGCAAACAGGAUUAGAAACCCCUGUAGUCC
rnacentral:rRNA from 1 species